rnacentral:rRNA from 1 species
GAGUUUGAUCCUGGCUCANGAUGAACGCUAGCGGCAGGCUUAACACAUGCAAGUCGAGGGGUAACAGGAUUUAGUUUACUAGAUUGCUGACGACCGGCGCACGGGUGAGUAACGCGUAUACAAUUUACCUUUUACUGAAGAAUAGCCCAGAGAAAUUUGGAUUAAUGCUUCAUGGUAUUAUUUGGUCACCUGACUAAGUAAUUAAAGUUCCGACGGUAAAAGAUGAGUAUGCGUCCUAUUAGCUAGAUGGUAAGGUAACGGCUUACCAUGGCGACGAUAGGUAGGGGUCCUGAGAGGGAGAUCCCCCACACUGGUACUGAGACACGGACCAGACUCCUACGGGAGGCAGCAGUGAGGAAUAUUGGGCAAUGGAGGCAACUCUGACCCAGCCAUGCCGCGUGCAGGAAGACUGCCCUAUGGGUUGUAAACUGCUUUUAUACAGGAAGAAACUUAUCCACGUGUGGAUAACUGACGGUACUGUAAGAAUAAGGACCGGCUAACUCCGUGCCAGCAGCCGCGGUAAUACGGAGGGUCCAAGCGUUAUCCGGAAUCAUUGGGUUUAAAGGGUCCGUAGGCGGGCAAUUAAGUCAGAGGUGAAAUCCCACAGCUCAACUGUGGAACUGCCUUUGAUACUGGUUGUCUUGAGUUAUAGUGAAGUAGAUAGAAUAUGUAGUGUAGCGGUGAAAUGCAUAGAUAUUACAUAGAAUACCGAUUGCGAAGGCAGUCUACUAACUGUACACUGACGCUAAUGGACGAAAGCGUGGGGAGCGAACAGGAUU